CUACAAAAAAAUUUCAGCAUAUCAUGAAAAGUUUUACACAUUCUGUAUUGGCUUCCCUAAGUAAACCACCCAAAAUUACAUAUCUCACAUAUUAUACAGAAAUAUGUACAAAAGAAUUGAUGGACUAAAAUCCCACAAAGAGGAAAGAAAAGAAUUGGAAAUUGUUUUAUUUGAUUUAUAACAAAAGACCAGCAAACUGGUUAUAUCUUCUCUUUUCAUCAUGCAGCUUUCCAUAGUCUUGCAUUAGACUCUGAUGCUUGAUAGUCCUUGGAUCCUCAUAGCCAGCAUAUGAAGAAAGUUCCAUAGCAGGAGGGAAGAGAGAAGCAUUAAAAAAAUAGAGAAAGAGAGAGAAAAUCGGAACCAGAAAGAGCAAGAAGAAAGAGGAAGAGAGAAAGGGAAAAGAGGGAAGAGAGAAAAACAAAAUACAAAAAGAGAGAGAAAAUGGGAACCAGAAAGAGGAAGAAGAAGAAGAAAGAGGAGGAGAGAAAAGAAAGAAGAAGAGAGGGAUAGAAAAAAAAUGAAGAGAGAGAGAGAGAGAGAGUGUCGGCACAGAGAAGAGAGAAAAGAAGAAGAAGAAAAAAGUAAAGAGAAAAAAAAAAAAAA
rnacentral:lncRNA from 1 species